UGACCAGCCAUGCCGCGUGCAGGAAGACGGCCCUACGGGUUGUAAACUGCUUUUAUACCGGAAUAAACCUUUCUAUGUAUAGGGAGCUGAAUGUACGGUAAGAAUAAGGAUCGGCUAACUCCGUGCCAGCAGCCGCGGUAAUACGGAGGAUCCAAGCGUUAUCCGGAUUUAUUGGGUUUAAAGGGUGCGUAGGUGGUUCUUUAAGUCAGGGGUGAAAGACGGCAGCUUAACUGUCGCAGUGCCUUUGAUACUGAAGAACUUGAAUACACUAGAGGUAGGCGGAAUGUGACAAGUAGCGGUGAAAUGCAUAGAUAUGUCACAGAACACCAAUUGCGAAGGCAGCUUACUAUGGUGUCAUUGACACUGAGGCACGAAAGCGUGGGGAUCAAACAGGAUUAGAUACCCUGGUAGUCCACGCCCUAAACGAUGAAUACUCGAUGUUGGCGAUAUACGGUCAGCGUCUAAGCGAAAGCGUUAAGUAUUCCACCUGGGGAGUACGCCCGCAAGGGUGAAACUCAAAGGAAUUGACGGGGGCCCGCACAAGCGGAGGAGCAUGUGGUUUAAUUCGAUGAUACGCGAGGAACCUUACCCGGGCUUGAAAGUUAGUGAAUGAUACAGAGACGUAUCAGUCCUUCGGGACACGAAACUAGGUGCUGCAUGGCUGUCGUCAGCUCGUGCCGUGAGGUGUUGGGUUAAGUCCCGCAACGAGCGCAACCCCUAUGUUUAGUUGCCAGCACGUCAAGGUGGGGACUCUAAACAGACUGCCUAUGCAAAUAGAGAGGAAGGAGGGGACGACGUCAAGUCAUCAUGGCCCUUACGUCCGGGGCUACACACGUGCUACAAUGGAUGGUACAGAGGGCAGCUACCUGGUAACAGGAUGCCAAUCUCCAAAAGCCAUUCACAGUUCGGAUCGGGGUCUGCAACUCGACCCCGUGAAGUUGGAUUCGCUAGUAAUCGCGUAUCAGCAAUGACGCGGUGAAUACGUUCCCGGGCCUUGUACACACCGCCCGUCAAGCCAUGGAAGCUGGAAGUGCCUGAAGUGCGUAACCGCAAGGAGCGUCCUAGGGUAAAGUCGGUAACUGG
rnacentral:rRNA from 1 species